GGAUCAGCCCCGCCCCAGCUGAUUUUGGUUUCAAUUUUGGUUCCAUUUUGGUUCCGUUUUGGUUCCUUUUUGGUAAAAUUUUGGUUCAGUUUUGGUAAAACUUUGGUCCAAUUUUGGUCCAAUUUUGGUUCCAUUUUGGUUCCAUUUGGGUUUUGGUUCCAUUUUGGUUCCGUUUUGGUUCCAUUUUGGUUCCAUUUUGGUUCCGUUUUGGUUCAGGUUUGGUUCAGUUUUGGUUCCAUUUUGGUUCCAUUUUGGUUCCGUUUUGGUUCCGUUUUGGUUCAGUUCUGGUUCCAUUUUGGUUCCAUUUGGGUUUUGGUUCCGUUUUGGUUCCGUUUUGGUUCAGUUUUGGUUCAGUUUUGGUUCAGUUUUGGUUCCGUUUUGGUUCAGUUUUGGUUCCAUUUUGGUUCCAUUUUGGUUCAGUUUUUGUUCCAUUUUGGUUCCAUUUUGGUUCCAUUUGGGUUUUGGUUCCAUUUUGGUUCCAUUUGGGUUUUGUUCCAUUUUGGUUCCAUUUUGGUUCCGUUUUGGUUCCAUUUUGGUUCAGUUUUGGUUCCAUUUUGGUUCCGUUUUGGUUCCGUUUUGGUUCCAUUUGGGUUUUGGUUCCAUUUUGGUUCAGUUUUGGUUCCAUUUUGGUUCAGUUUUGUUUCUGUUUUGGUUCCAUUUUGGUGCUGUUUUGGCUCAGUUUUGGUUCCAUUUUGGUUCCAUUUUGGUUCCGUUUUGGUUCAGUUUUGGUUCAGUUUUGGUUCUGUUUUGGUUCCAUUUUGGUUCCAUUUUGGUUCCAUUUUGGUUCCGUUUUGGUUCCAUUUUGGUUCCAUUUUGGUUCCAUUUGGGUUUUGGUUCCAUUUUGGUUCCAUUUUGGUUCCGUUUUGGCCCAAUUUUGGUCCAAUUUGGGGACAAUUGGAUCGAUUCUCCCCCGGAAUCCCCGAUCCAACCUCCCCAAACCUCUCCGGUUUCCAUGGAAACCCCCGGCCCUGCCCCGAGCUUUGCCAGCUGGAAGUCGGGCAUCACUAA
rnacentral:lncRNA from 1 species